UCUUGUGUGAGGAGUGCAGAACGCUCUCCUGGGGUCGAAACGAGGACAGACUCCCGGCAUCGUUCCACCU
rnacentral:sRNA from 18 species